rnacentral:misc_RNA from 1 species
AACGCAACUGGCGCGCUUGGGAUAUGCCUGAGCGCAAGUCUGUUUGAGCGGUGGAUCUACCACUUUUUGAAGAGGUGUGUGUGUGAGUUCUUCUCAUACCGCGAGAGUGAGGUUUGUGAGCGUUUCUAGAAGCGCUCUCCCUUGAAGUGCAGUUGUUGACAGUGUGGCUUAGUGUGCUGCUGAGGCUGAGGCUGCAAACGUUUGAACAAAGCGCAUUUGCAUCCCUCUUCCCCCCCGCAACCAAAAAGCCCCCGCAUACGCUUCUAACCCUCAAAUCAGACUAGAGUACCCGCUGAACUUAA